GGUAUUCCUUAUCUAUCUAAUCGUUGAUUAAUCUGGAACCUGUCCCAUUGAACUCUUCGUUCUUCACGCUGGAACAACCAAAAAUUCAAUAAGACAGGUUCUGCGUUUAGUUGCCGCGCUCUAAAAAUGG
rfam:Klebsiella pneumoniae IS43, WGS project CBWK01000000 data, contig: c185